rnacentral:rRNA from 1 species
AUGAAACACGGAGCAAUCUGUGGCUUAUAGAUGGGCCUGCGGCGCAUUAGCUAGUUGGUAGGGUAACGGCCUACCAAGGCGACGAUGCGUAGCCGACCUGAGAGGGUGAACGGCCACACUGGGACUGAGACACGGCCCAGACUCCUACGGGAGGCAGCAGUAGGGAAUCUUCCGCAAUGGACGCAAGUCUGACGGAGCAACGCCGCGUGAGUGAUGAAGGUUUUCGGAUCGUAAAGCUCUGUUGCCCUAGACGAACAGCAAGGCGAGUAACUGCGCUUUGUGUGACGGUAUAGGAGAAGAAAGCCCCGGCUAACUACGUGCCAGCAGCCGCGGUAAUACGUAGGGGGCAAGCGUUGUCCGGAAUUAUUGGGCGUAAAGCGCGCGCAGGCGGUUAAUUAAGUUGGGUGUUUAAGCCCGGGGCUCAACCCCGGUUCGCAUCCAAAACUGGUUGACUUGAGUGUAGGAGAGGAAAGUGGAAUUCCACGUGUAGCGGUGAAAUGCGUAGAGAUGUGGAGGAACACCAGUGGCGAAGGCGGACUUUCUGGCCUAUAACUGACGCUGAGGCGCGAAAGCGUGGGGAGCAAACAGG